GUCCCUUCCGGGACAUCCUAUAAAACUGGAACGAUACAGAGAAGAUUAACAUGGUCCUUGAGCAAAGAUGACAUGCAUAAUUGAGAAAUAUAAACAAUGACU